rnacentral:rRNA from 1 species
GAUGAACGCUGGCGGCGUGCCUAAUACAUGCAAGUCGAGCGAACGGACGAGAAGCUUGCUUUUCUGAUGUUAGCGGCGGACGGGUGAGUAACGCGUGGAUAACCUACCUAUAAGACUGGGAUAACUUCGGGAAACCGGAGCUAAUACCGGAUAAUAUUUUGAACCGCAUGGUUCAAAAGUGAAAGACGGUCUUGCUGUCACUUAUAGAUGGAUCCGCGCUGCAUUAGCUAGUUGGUAAGGUAACGGCUUACCAAGGCAACGAUGCAUAGCCGACCUGAGAGGGUGAUCGGCCACACUGGAACUGAGACACGGUCCAGACUCCUACGGGAGGCAGCAGUAGGGAAUCUUCCGCAAUGGGCGAAAGCCUGACGGAGCAACGCCGCGUGAGUGAUGAAGGUCUUCGGAUCGUAAAACUCUGUUAUUAGGGAAGAACAUAUGUGUAAGUAACUGUGCACAUCUUGACGGUACCUAAUCAGAAAGCCCCGGCUAACUACGUG